rnacentral:snoRNA from 1 species
ACUGCUGUGAUGAGCUGUUAACAUGUAAGAAGAUCCCUUUUAUUGGGUUUCUUCGGUGAAAUAUAUUUGUUACGCUUGGCUUCUGAGCUUU